UGAGGAAUAUUGGUCAAUGGGCGGAAGCCUGAACCAGCCAAGUAGCGUGAGGGAAGACUGCCCUAUGGGUUGUAAACCUCUUUUAUAAGGGAAUAAAAUACGGGACGUGUCCUGUCUUGCAUGUACCUUAUGAAUAAGGACCGGCUAAUUCCGUGCCAGCAGCCGCGGUAAUACGGAAGGUCCGGGCGUUAUCCGGAUUUAUUGGGUUUAAAGGGAGCGUAGGCCGUCUGGUAAGCGUGUUGUGAAAUGUCGUUGCUCAACAACGUCACUGCAGCGCGAACUGCCGGGCUUGAGUGUGCGGAAAGCGGGCGGAAUUUGUGGUGUAGCGGUGAAAUGCUUAGAUAUCACGAAGAACUCCGAUUGCGAAGGCAGCUCGCUGUAGCAUUACUGACGCUGAAGCUCGAAGGUGCGGGUAUCGAACAGGAUUAGAUACCCUGGUAGU
rnacentral:rRNA from 1 species